rnacentral:misc_RNA from 1 species
AUUGAAAAGAAGCUCAAGAACAGAAUACAAUGGAAGGGUGUUGAAUCUUCUAGACCUGGAGAAGUGGAUAAUGAUGCUUCCAUUUUAAAGGCCGAAACUGACAGACUUUCAGUGGAGGAGCGAAGACUGGAUGAGCGGAUUAGAGAAAUGCAAGAAAAGUUGAGGGAUAUGAGUGAAGACGAAAACAACCAAAGGUGGCUUUUUGUAACUGAAGAAGAUAUAAAGAGCCUACCUUGUUUUCAGAAUGAGACUCUAAUAGCAGUUAAAGCUCCUCAUGGCACCACCCUGGAAGUCCCAGAUCCCGAUGAGGCCGUGGACUAUCCACAGAGGAGAUAUAGAAUUAUACUCAGAAGCACAAUGGGUCCCAUUGAUGUCUACCUUGUCAGUCAAUUUGAGGAGAAGUUUGAGGAGAUGAAUGGUGUUGAACCUCCAACGACCAUCCCAGUUGCUUCAAGUUCAGGCUCAAAGGAUUAUCCUACCAUGGAAAUAUCAACUGUUUCAAACAGUGUUACCGAGAACGAAGGACAAACACACAAUGUUGAUCAAUUGAGUUCUGAUCUUGGUACUUCACAGGAAUACAAUGGUGGAAUGAUGAAGAUUCUCCCUUCAGAUGUUGAUAAUGACUCAGACUACUGGCUCUUAUCAGAUGCAAAUGUUAGCAUCACAGAUAUGUGGAAGACAGAUUCUACAGUUGAAUGGGAUGGGGAAACCUUGCUCCAUGAUUUUGGAAUAGAUGAUCUAGGUACCCCACGGGCACACACUCCUCCAUCUACUAAUGCUGACGUACCAGAUCCAAUGAACGUACCACCAAGAUGAUACAGGCUCUCGCGAAUAAGCUCAACUUGGAAAAAUUCCAGUCUAUUUAGUCGGAAACAAGAAUUCACCUUCUCCUUUCUUGCUGUUUCGCCCUUUAGAAGGGCUCAGGACGGUUUACUUACUACUCAAAGCCAAAAAGAUUGAGACUUUGUACAGUUGCGGAAUCUGCUUGACCCCUUUGACAUGGUUUUAUUAUACUUGUAACCAAACAGAGCUGCACAGAAGGUGCUGCAACAGAUUGAGUUGAAAGUAUG